rnacentral:rRNA from 1 species
GCUCGAGUGGCGAACGGGUGAGUAACACGUGAGUAACCUGCCCUUGACUUUCGGGAUAACUUCAGGAAACUGGGGCUAAUACCGGAUAGGAGCUCCUGCUGCAUGGUGGGGGUUGGAAAGUUUCGGCGGUUGGGGAUGGACUCGCGGCUUAUCAGCUUGUUGGUGGGGUAGUGGCUUACAAGGCUUUGACGGGUAGCCGGCCUGAGAGGGUGACCGGCCACAUUGGGACUGAGAUACGGCCCAG